rnacentral:rRNA from 1 species
UACGUAGGGUGCGAGCGUUGUCCGGAAUUAUUGGGCGUAAAGAGCUCGUAGGCGGUGUGUCACGUCGGCCGUGAAAACCUGCAGCUUAACUGUGGGCGUGCGGUCGAUACGGGCAUCACUGGAGUUCGGCAGGGGAGACUGGAAUUCCUGGUGUAGCGGUGAAAUGCGCAGAUAUCAAGAGGAACACCUGCGGCGAAGGCGGGUUGCUGGGCCGACACUGACGCUGAGGCGCGAAAGCCAGGGGAGCGAACGGGG